GGUGAGGGUAUGGUGAGGGUAUGAAGUGAAGAAUGUUCUUAAUUAGAACAAACGAGGCCUGGACCCUGCCAGAGAGUGGAGGAACACAGUGAAUGAAAGGACUAGAUAGACACUGUUCUCUCUGCUAGUAAUGGACCUGUCAACAUACUGCUGCAGUUACAGUGUGUGUGUGUGUGUGUGUGUGUGUGUGUGUGUGUGUGUGUGUGUGUGUGUGUGUGUGUGUGUGUGUGUGUGUGUGUGUCACUUCUGAAGAACUUAAUGCGGGGUGCUGCUGUUUCAUUUUGUGUAUGCACUUCUGAAAAACUUCUUACAUUGGAAUCAUUUAGCAGACACUUAACCAGAAUGACUCACGGUCAGUGCAUUCAAAUAUAUUUAGUAAGGUAAAACAACCACAUAUCACAGUCAUUGCGAGUAGACUCCUCUUCAAAAUAGCCGUUAUCAGCAGAAUCAGUGCCAGAAAGAUAAGACAAAUUCAGGUAUGAGUGCAAGAAAUAUACGGUUGGUGAAGAGUUCUGUUUUCAAAACUUGGGGAGGGAUACUGCUGUUCUGUCUUUCUCUGUCUGCAGCUGUGAGUCUUGAGCCAACUUCCUUUUCUGAAACAGGAAACUGUGAAAUGAGAACAGGAACCAGUCACCAAGUGCAGCAGACGGAUUCUCAGAAGUGUGAUCAUACAGUGAGAGCCGACCACUGACUUCCAUUUGCAUCCUCCAUCCUGCACGAAACCCUAGAGGUCAUGCCUAUUAAACCCUGCCCGUUCUCAUAGAGGUCAUGCCUAUUAAACCCUGCCCGUUCUCAUAGAGGUCAUGCCUAUUAAACCCUGCCUGUUCUCAUAGGGGUCAUGCCUAUUAAACCCUGCCUGUUCUCAUAGACGUCAUGCCUAUUAAACCCUGCCUGUUCUCCUAGACGUCAUGCCUAUGAAACCCUGCCCGUUCUCAUAGGGGUCAUGCCUAUUAAACCCUGCCUGUUCUCCUAGACGUCAUGCCUAUGAAACCCUGCCCAUUCUCCUAGAGGCCAUGCCUAUGAAACCCUGCCCGUUCUCCUAGGGGUCAUGCCUAUGAAACCCUGCCCGUUCUCCUAGAGGUCAUGCCUAUGAAACCCUGCCCGUUCUCCUAUACGUCAUGCCUAUGAAACCCUGCCCGUUCUCCUAGAGGCCAUGCCUAUAAAACACUGACCUUUCUCCUAGAGGCCAUGCCUAUGAAACACUGACCAUUCUCCAAGACGUCAUGCCUAUAAAACCCUGCCCGUUCUCCAAGAUGUCAUGCCUAUGUAAGAAUAUUUUAAGGUAAUAUACAAUGCAGAGGACGAGAGGACUAAAGGUCAAGAGAGUACUAAACGAUCAUUAGGGAAUUAUCAAUGGAAAUAGUUGGUUUUCAGUUCAACAUCUGUUUAGAAUCUGUGUAGGAAUGUCAGUCCUGGACUCAUUCCUACGUGUGCCACAUUUUCAUUGGUCUGAAUCAUUGAAUCUAAAAUAGAAUACUUGUUAUUUGGUCAUUGGCCCAAUUUUACUACAAGGAAUUCUAAUCUGUCAACCACAGGCUAGGGCUGGGGUUUAUAAAUUACACCGUGUUGCUUUGUUCUGUGGAGAGAAUCACAGGGGAGAAUCACUGAGGACAGGGGAGAAUGAACAUCUAUCAUCUACCUCCCCACAUGAUUUGUUCUCUUUCAAUAAACCUAUUUUCCUCCCCCUGAUUUUCUUUGGGGUCUGUGUUAUUGAAGAGUAUCAUCAACUGCUAACACCUAUGCCUGCC
ensembl:lncRNA